rnacentral:rRNA from 1 species
UACGGUAGGGUGCAAGCGUUGUCCGGAAUUAUUGGGCGUAAAGAGCUCGUAGGCGGUUUGUUGCGUCGGCUGUGGAAAUCCCGAGGCUCAACCUCGGGUCUGCAGUCGAUACGAGCAAACUAGAGUGUUGCAGGGGAGACUGGAAUUCCUGGUGUAGCGGUGGAAAUGCGCAGAUAUCAGGAGGAACACCGGUGGCGAAGGCGGGUCUCUGGGCAACAACUGACGCUGAGGAGCGAAAGCGUGGGGAGCGAACGGG